CAGCGAUUGACAUGCUUCGAAGUACGGUAAUGGAAUACUUAGAAUUUUAUUGUCACGAAUUGCGCCAAGCGCGUGACACUUCUUUACUAUUUCGGAUAGUGUCUGGAACGCACGAACAAAACGCCGCUAUUCGGAUAUAACGAUGGAUUAUUUUGGACCAAACCAACAUUUGUUAUUGAAGUAGCUGUCCUGGGUGUGUAUUCUGACGAAGACAACAAAAGGGGUGGACCUCGCAAAAUCCAGGAAUGGCAACAGCUGGUGUCUGACUGCGACUGAUUAUUUCUGUGGUUCUCCUGAGGUCAUCUUGAGUGACCGAGGUCGUGAACUCUGGAACAAGGUUUGGAUGAAUGGACCAACCACACCCUCAAGACUGCCAUGGCCAAGUCCCUUGACGGGUUCCUGGAAUGGUGGGAGGACAACCUGAAGGUCAUUCCCUUUGCACACAUCAGCAGCAUCCAGGCCUCCAGAGUACUCACCCUAUCGCCUGCUGUAUGGACGGGAGCUGCAGCUGUUGACUGAGAUCAGAAUGCCUUCAAGGACCACUUUCAGGCACAGGCUGAGAAGGAUGUGGAGGUUUUUGACCAGGUGAGACUGAACAUGGACAAGGCGCAAAAGAAACAGAAGGAGAGCUACCGGAGGAGAAUCAAGAAAGGGACCAAGAGCUUCGACAUCCGGCCAAAUGAAACCUUGCUGCUCUUUCACUCCUAGCUGGGCUCACCAUCCGUUAAG
rnacentral:lncRNA from 1 species